GUCCUCGUGGAAUCAUUCAUAACUGAAGCAAGUAAAGAAAGACAGGAUAGUUGCAUAGUAAGAUAAGAGUAGAGUGGGAGAUAUACAAUCAAUAGGGCUCCAGAAAAUCAGAAGGUAUCAUUCAACUCAAAACACCUAUGAGAUAGAAUUGUACCACAAUUUUGAACUUAAGGGUUAAAACAUGGAAUCGUAAUGGAAACUUUUUGUAACAAGAUCACAUAAAACGAAGAUUCCAGAAUAAUCCAAAGAUCAGAGAAGUGGUGACAGGUGAAAUAGAGAAGAGUAGUAAUGUACCUUGGGGAAGACGGUGGUGGAUCU